rnacentral:lncRNA from 1 species
AUGACACGACAGCCAAAUUUAUAUUUCCUCGGAAUCAAGUCAGUCUCGCGAAAGGCUCUUUUCCAGAGGCUCACCGCGAAGAGCCCAGCAGGGCGAGGAGAAAGGCCGAGCCCCGACCCCAGGACGCCUCCCCGUCCCCAUCUUCCGCUCUUGACAAUGAGCGAGCUCCGUGUAACGGGCGGGGACACGGCUCUGUCUGGUCCUCACAGAUGGACACAUCUAUCAGCGUGUCAGCAUGGCCCUGGCAGUCCCUCCACUUCUAGAAUGCUUAUGCUCCACGAGCUCAUCCAAUUAGAGCACCAGGCCUGGUGCUGUGAAGUCACCGCUAUCAGAAUCGGUACCUGGAGGAGAAUAGGCCAGGGUUGACUAGAUGGAACACUGUGGUCCUCUUCCAGAGAAGAAAAGUUACAGCGCUUGAAGAGAGCAUAUAAAGCCAGUGUUAGAAAUACUGAAAUGGAAUCAACAGUGUUCGUGCCUGAGUGUAGAUUUUGUGGUCUUAAAGGUAAGCUAUUCAUGAAAACCUCAGGUCCAAUUCUUUUUCAUGCAGUUAUUUUCACUUUAUAGGAGAAGAAAAAAGAAUCCAACCAUAUAUUACUUGGGGCUGAAGGCAUGCCUUGUGAUUGUUUAUAAUAUGAUAAUGUCUUGUGGGAGGGCAGGACAUUAUUCUCACUAUGAGAUGAGAAAACCAAGCCUCAAGAGUCAAAAGUGAGUUGCCCAAAGUCAUGAAGGUUAUGUAGUCAAGACUUGACAGCAAGUUCUACUUUUUUGAUCCUGGCAGUGGCUGCUAUUUUCUGUUACAAUUCAAUUUAUCAAGAUAUGAAACAAAAUAUUCCCAAGACAGUUUAUCAAAGGACAAAACAUUAGUGGAGUAGUAUGUUUUUAAAGUUAAUUUACAUGCAUUUUUGCUUUUCCCAGCUUUUUAUUUUGAAAAAUUUUCAGAAUUCAGAAAAAUUUAAAAAUAGAAUACCUGUGUGCACUUUACCAAGAUAAAACAAUUUUUAAUAUUUUGCCACAUUUAUGAAUGCUUCCUAAAUAUUUAUAUACACCUAUUAUAUGUAUAUAUAUUUAUACUGGCAU